GACGAACGCUGGCGGCGUGCCUAAUACAUGCAAGUAGAACGCUGAAGAGAGGAGCUUGCUCUUCUUGGAUGAGUUGCGAACGGGUGAGUAACGCGUAGGUAACCUGCCUUGUAGCGGGGGAUAACUAUUGGAAACGAUAGCUAAUACCGCAUAACAAUGGAUGACACAUGUCAUUUAUUUGAAAGGGGCAAUUGCUCCACUACAAGAUGGACCUGCGUUGUAUUAGCUAGUAGGUGAGGUAACGGCCCACCUAGGCGACGAUACAUAGCCGACCUGAGAGGGUGAUCGGCCACACUGGGACUGAGACACGGCCCAGACUCCUACGGGAGGCAGCAGUAGGGAAUCUUCGGCAAUGGGGGCAACCCUGACCGAGCAACGCCGCGUGAGUGAAGAAGGUUUUCGGAUCGUAAAGCUCUGUUGUAAGUCAAGAACGAGUGUGAGAGUGGAAAGUUCACACUGUGACGGUAGCUUACCAGAAAGGGACGGCUAACUACGUG
rnacentral:rRNA from 1 species